rnacentral:rRNA from 1 species
AGAGUUGAUCCUGGCUCACAACGAACGUCUGGCGGCGUGCUUAAUACAUGCAAGUCGUGCGAGAAAGUACCCUUCGGGGUGCGAGUAGAGCGGCAAACGGGUGAGUAACACGUAAGUAACCUACCUCUAAAUCUGGAAUAGCUCUGCCAACGCGGAGCUAAUACCGGAUGUGGUCACGAUGCUGCAUGGUAUUGUGACUAAAGGUGACCUCUCCUUGGAAGUUACCGUUUAGAGAUGGGCUUGCGGACCAUUAGCUAGUUGGUGAGGUAACGGCUCACCAAGGCUACGAUGGAUAGCCGGCCUAAGAGGGUGAUCGGCCACAUUGGGACUGAGAUACGGCCCAGACUCCUACGGGAGGCAGCAGUAGGGAAUUUUGCGCAAUGGACGAAAGUCUGACGCAGCAACGCCGCGUGAGGGAUGACGGCCUUCGGGUUGUAAACCUCUGUUGAGUGGGAAGAAAAGCUUUGUGGUUAAUAUCCACAGAGUCUGACGGUACCACUCGAGGAAGCUCCGGCUAACUACGUGCCCAGCAGCCGCGGUAAUACGUAGGGGGCUAGCGUUGUUCGGAAUCACUGGGCGUAAAGGGAGUGUAGGCGGACCGGUAAGUUAGGAGUUACAUGUACGGGCUCAACCCGUGAUCUGCUUUUAAUACUGUCGGUCUUGAGUAUGGGAGAGGGACAUGGAAUUCCAGGUGUAGCGGUGGAAUGCGUAGAUAUCUGGAAGAACACCCAGUUGCGAAGGCGGUCUCCUGGAC